rnacentral:rRNA from 1 species
CACGUAGGGCGCAAGCGUUGUCCGGAAUUAUUGGGCGUAAAGAGCUCGUAGGCGGUCUGUUGCGUCCGCUGUGAAAACUCGGGGCUUAACCCCGAGCCUGCAGUGGAUACGGGCAGACUAGAGGUAGGUAGGGGAGAAUGGAAUUCCUGGUGUAGCGGUGAAAUGCGCAGAUAUCAGGAGGAACACCGAUGGCGAAGGCAGGUCUCUGGGCAUUAACUGACGCUGAGGGGCGAAAGCAUGGGGAGCGAACAGG